AGAGCGAACGCUGGCGGCAGGCUUAACACAUGCAAGUCGAGCGGGCGUAGCAAUACGUCAGCGGCAGACGGGUGAGUAACGCGUGGGAACGUACCUUUUGGCUCGGAACAACACAGGGAAACUUGUGCUAAUACCGGAUAAGCCCUUACGGGGAAAGAUUUAUCGCCAAAAGAUCGGCCCGCGUCUGAUUAGCUAGUUGGUGAGGUAACGGCUCACCAAGGCGACGAUCAGUAGCUGGUCUGAGAGGAUGAUCAGCCACAUUGGGACUGAGACACGGCCCAAACUCCUACGGGAGGCAGCAGUGGGGAAUAUUGGACAAUGGGCGCAAGCCUGAUCCAGCCAUGCCGCGUGAGUGAUGAAGGCCCUAGGGUUGUAAAGCUCUUUUGUGCGGGAAGAUAAUGACGGUACCGCAAGAAUAAGCCCCGGCUAACUUCGCGCCAGCAGCCGC
rnacentral:rRNA from 1 species